GGAGGGCGGGCAGCGAGCGGCUCGGCGCCCGCCGCCACGUCCCAAACUUCGGGGAAACCCGCUCCGAUCCCCCCCUCCCGCCCCCUUUCCGCUAGGACCGGCUUUUUUUUAUCCCGGCGAGAGAAAUCCAGACCUCUCAGAAAAGAAGGGGAAAAUAUUUGCGGAUGGUUGAAAAAACUUCUCCCCCGCCAGCAGCCGGCUGCAACCUGUGGGCAGAGGGAGAUCCCAAGAUCCCAGUCCGGGCAGCUCCCAUCCCGAUGAUGCUGUCGGAGGGCAGCGGAGGCGAUCACUUUGAUGCCAGUCCUUGGAGGAGCAGCAGGAGGGGAGUUUACGCCGGCCCAGCGUUAGUCUCGGUUUAGGGGAAGCAAUGACGCUGCUGGUUUAAGUUCCCCAACCUUUUGCCCGUGCCCGAGCCGCGGGUGCUCCCAGGCAGAUGCAGCCGAGCUGGGUAAUUCCCUUCUCUCCCCUCCCUGCCCGCCUGUUCUCCGCUCCCGUGGCGCCUGGAAUGCUCUCCUCAAAAAUACAAAGCGCAAAAAGAGAUUAAAAAAAAAAAAAAAAAAAAAAAAAAAGAGGGGGGAAAGAAGUUUUUUGUUUUGUUUUAAAAAAACCCAAACUUCUAACAUAAACCCUUGACUUUUACGAGGCGAGAGGCGCAGAAGGGCUGUGAAAUGCGACGUCUUUUGUCGUAUUUACAGACAGUGCCAGCAGCCGACUGGACACGCAGAUAAAGAUCUCGUGGUCUACGCGAACUCCAAGGAAUGUUUUAAAGCAAAGACCUCCAAGCGCCUGCUCUCAGUCCACACAUGUGCCCGCACGUAGCCUAAAAAGACGGGGACACCCACGCAGCCGAACAAUAGUGGGGAUUUCUUUUAACAGGUUAAAUGAAGGUAUAAGCAAAGCCUCCUGCCACUUGUGGCACGCCAGCUCCUACAGCUCUUUGCCUUCAGAGCCACUUGCCAGAGUUCAACAGAGGGUGACAUUAGCCUAAAAUAUUCGAUACUUUUUCUUUUAUUCUGGAGACUUUCCCCACUUCUGCUGGGCUAAAUUCAGCUCCCGGUUCGUCUCUGCGGGUAAGAUUGCUGUCUUUGAAGGAAACAAAAACCUGCCUGAUCUUUUUGUUUUUGUUUUAUUUUGUUUUUAUCAAGAAGGUAUUGCGGAUACUUUCCUCAGUGUACAUAAAGCAGAAAUUAAAUGAUUGAGUGUCCGUGGUGCAAGAAGUCGAAGGCCACUCUUCUAAAAAGUUGAACGAAGUAUUUUACCCUUUCAAAUGACACUGAAAAUACUUGCAACACUGUACAAGAAGCAAAUUAGCAAGUAAGCAAAUAAAACCUCAAAUUGAAGCGACAUAGAAUUGAAUAUUGGUGCCGGACAGUACCUCGGCUGAGCUAGGAGUUUUGUCAGAGCUUUUCGAUUUGAUGUUUCCCUCCAAACUAAUGUUCACUAUCGCUCCAUUCCUGUGACCCAGGUCCGCCUGCAGCCGGGCUAACGAGCCCAUUUACACAUUAUUUCGGCGUGACUUCGGGCAUCCAUCGGAGCGGGGAUCCGGGGCUGUCCAGCCCGGAGCGGGACGAGAGGGAGCCCGCGGCUCCCUGCAGGCUCGGAACUCUCCGGGGGCGCUUCUCGCAAACCAUUCCAUCCAGGGAAAAAACACGGGUGCCAAUCAAUGACGCUUUAUAGAUUAGGAAAACAAAGGAAAAUAAGAAGGGAAGCCCGGGAGUGCGGUGCGGGACGGGGCUCGGGGCGUCCCGGGGAUCCCCAGCCCCGCCAGCCCGACGGCUCCGGGCACCGAUCUGUGCCUGGGGGGGCAGGGGAGAGUGUCAGGGUCCCUGCAAGCCCCUGUCCCGAGAGUUCCCUGCUCCCCCAGGACAGCUCCGACCGCUGCUAUCUGCAUCAGGGGCUGUAUUAUCACAGGCUUUUGCAUAAUUGCAUAUUGACUUUACUAAAUGGAUCUGCGGAGCUAUUUAAACAUCCCUCUCUUCCACCCGCAAACAAUUCUCUCGGCAAGAAAGAAAAAAAAGAAAAAAAAUUGCGGGAGUGGGGGGAGCUGCAGAAGAGCUCCCAGUUGCUCUUGCUCCUUCGUUUUGUAGCGUUUUGUUUGGGCACGAGUGGCUCAACUCUGGGCAGUUUGGCUCCGAUUUGGUGCACAGGAGCUGCAGCAGCAGGAUGAGUAGCUGUCACUCACUCUGGGGUCUGAGAGGUGGGUGCAUGGACACGCAUGUCUCUCGGAGCUCCCCUGGACAAUUUUUGGCCAGCUGUGAGAAAAGCCUCCAUGGGUACGUGUGUGUGCACGCACAAUGAAGGACUGCUCCAAGGGCAACUCAGGGAAAACCCUCCUCGUUCACCAUUUUUAACGCCUCCCUUAGAGCAGGGGAACUCGCUCCCCUUUCCCCCACACCUCCCCACUCGCAGCAGUGCCCCACGAGCCGUGUCAACCCCAAAGCAGGGAGCCCUAAGAACGGGUGUGCUCAUCCCACCGCCGCCCCUCUCCACCCCGCACAGGCAGCUGCCCUCGCCCCCGAGCCUGCAGGGCAGGCAGCCUCUCCUCACCAAGGCUGGGUCCCCAGGGCAGCAGCUGUGAGAGGCAGCCAGGGAAGGGGGGAAAUAAAGUGAAGGAGAGAAGGAGGGGAGGCAGUGAAAGCUGCACUUUCCUCCAGGCAGAGCAAGCACCCCCUCGGAGGGGCCCCAGACCCAGGAGCUGCCUCCCGAGCCCUGGGCCUCCCACAAGGCAGCAGCAGCAGCAGCAGCAGCAUCUCCUCCUCCACAGCCCUGCAGCCCCUCCACGCUGGCUUGGCCCCUGAACCGGCCUGGCAGGUCUGCAGGGAGGGGACAGAGAUGCACAGGGACCGGGCCAGGCGCUGCUUUGAGACUCCAGUGGGAUUCCAAGCAUCCUUCACAGGGACAGGGUGGCAACAGCUCGCUGUCCGUGGCUUGGUUAAAGGGUUCACAUAAAAGGUCUGCUGGGAUCUGCAGCUGUCAAGACGAAGCUGCAGUCAGAAUAAUCCACCAAGGGUUAUCUAGAGCAUGUUUGCUUCCAGCUUACCCCACUAGGGCACUAUUUUUACCUUGAGGAUGCUAGCUUUGCUUGAAAAGCUGUAAUUACUCUUGGAAAAAAGAAGUUUUCCUGCUCUUAUCCUCAACUUAGUUGUGGGAAGAAGACUUGAAACCAGAUGGACAUCCAGACUGAAAAGGAAGUACUUUUCACAUGGAACCAAAGAACCAUCUCGCAGAAUCAUCAACUCAGCUCUCCUGCAAUGAUCUUUCCUUGCAUUUAGCAGAAUUUAGAUCAAUUGAGUACUGUCUCUUAGCUAACAGGGCUUUCAGGAGGACUAUCCCACAUUCAGCAUUUCAGUUCAGAUUUCUAAAGCUAUUUCAUCUCUUCUCUCAACACAACAGUGACCACAGCCCGCUGCAAGUUUGGCACCUGAUUUCUGCAAGAGGUAUAAACCACCUUCAGUGAAUGUGAACAUCAGGUCCCACUUCAGGAGGUGCCUACCAGCCAGCUCUUACUGCAGGUCCCUGGGAUCACGCUCCUAAGGCACAUUUUGAGAAGGGUUGUAUCUGAAGGCAGAUAUGCAUCCCAGCACAUGGAGACAUGACCAAAGCAGCACCGAAUCCCACUGUGGUGGCAAUAAUUAAAGCAUGUCACAAGGCUCUACCCACCCAAGCAGCUCCUCACAGAUUUUGCAGGCACCGAAUCCUGUGCCUCACCCCUCCUCUUGCCUCAAAACACCACUUUUAUGACUCUGCAGAUGCAAACUUGAUCAGAACAGAGUCAAGUUUACGAGACACCGCGCAGAUGCACCGAGCCAUCCAUCCCUUCAGCCCCCCUCUCCAUUUCUAACAUCCCCUUCCUUCAGUCUGAUCUUCCUCCAGCGCAUCCCCUGAGACAGGACUGCUCACCCAAACAACGUGUGACAGCUCGUGGCUUAGAGGGUGCCACCGUAGCAGCUGAACAUCUUAUGAGCACGUGUGCUCGACAGGAAAUCCUCAUUCCAUGACAGAGCACUUGAAACACAGAAAGUUUUCGAGGGCCUCAACCAAAAAAAGCCCUGAUGGUGCAAGAGGCAAGGGCAGGAUGCUUUGCCUCUUGAGCCUCUGCUGGAAGACAAGCUGUUCCCACCCCUCUCUUCAUUAACUCAUAAACAGAAACUCUGGACCUUACCCAGAUCUCUCCCCCCCCAACACAGAAUAUCUUGCUUUAAAUUAUUUUUCCAGUAUCAUCCAAGAUCAUGUUUUUCCUUUUAUGUUUCCAAGUUGAAGUUUAUUAUAGCUUUCUACAUUGCUGAUCGGUUGUAACCCUUUCUGUUAUUUUCCUGUCCUUGCUGCUAUUUGAAAUGCCUCUUACUUGGAUCCCCUUCAAAUUUUAUUACUGUACUGCUCACCUAAUUUCUGUACCAAGCCCAUUCUGCCUUGCAUUCAUUGUCACCCAACUUGAGGCACAGCUGCUGCCUCUUCUCUGCUGUGCAGCACCACCAGAUAUCCACUUUUUUCCCCAUUCUUUUCCAUACAGAAUCUGAUGAAGAGACCCUUGCUGGGUUUAACCAGUGCCAGCCACAUUGUCCUUACCAUUAGUGUUACAUUUCUAGUUAUUCUUGCUUCUUCCCAAAGCCUUUGAAGUCGUGUAGAGACAAUUUGAUUCAUUAGUACGCUCAGCCUUGCAGUAACUCUAGCUUCUGCUUUAGUUUCUCUAUUAGAAGCACAUGUUUGGUCUGUAACUCAGGGGAAAGCUCCACUCUCUGACUUCCCCACACAGUUCAAAAUCUGCUCUGCCUUGAAGGACUGGUGGCUUUCUGCCCUGGGUUUCCAUACCUGGCAAAGCCACCUCCACCUCCUCCUCCUCCUCUCUACUGGUAUGACAAAUUUGUGAGCAACAUGCUUUCUCUUUCUGAGUGUCUCCACACUAGAGGCUUUUACAGCAGUUGCAGGUAUUUGCAGUUCUCUUCUUUUUUUUUUUUUUUUCAGAAGAGCUGCAAUUAUCCCAAUUAUUUCCUUUCUGGCCUCAUGUAGGCUGAGAUCCAUCAGCAGCACUUCACGAGAUGUCCUUACGUCCCCUUCAUGGUCCCUGCUGGAUCAGGAGCUUGGCCUCCCUGCUGCCGAUGUGCGACGGGAUCCCCGCCACGGGCUGGUGGUGGAAUGGGAUCUGGCCUUUGAACCGAGCCAGCGUGCAGUCUGCAGAGAGGAAGCAAUAUUGGAGCUCUGUUAUCUGCCAGCAUCUGGUCAUCGAGAUCUCGCUCGGCGAUCCGGGAGGAAACCCUGUGGAGGAGGGGGGAGAGGAAAUCCCGCACGCGGGGUUCCCAUUUCCAGCUUCCUGCUCCGUCCUCCAGCAAAGCUCAGCCCUCCACUUCCCGAGAAAUAAUAAUAAUAAUAAUAAUAAUAAAUCUAAAAAAAAAAAUAAAAAAAAUAAUAAUUGCCCUUCAGGGAAGUUGUCAGGCUUAAUGGAUGUUUAUAAAUCACUCGAACAAAAGGUGCUAUGUCAGUGAAAAGUACUCAUCCCGAUGAUUAUUCAAAUGCUCAUUAAAAUGCAUUUUGCUCUAUUCCUUUCCCUUGGUUUGUGUGGGAGGCAAUUGAAAGAUUUAGUCUUUGUGGGAAAGCAGGAGAGCUCGAGCGCUUUCCUUUGGGUGUGGGAGCGGCAGGUUUGGGGAGUUAAGGACCUCUGGCAUGCAGGUAGGGUUUCAUCCAAGGCCUUCAGGCUCCCAUCCAGGCUGCAAGCUCUGACAGACCCAGGACUGGCAAGUUCCCUCCAGGAAGACAAGGCAGCGAUUAAUGGUACCAACCCCCUGCUCAAAUUUGCAUGUAUCAUCUCCUCAGCUUUUCUCCUGACGGAAUUAGGGAUCAUCCUUUAGUGAAAAUUAUUCUUAAUGUGUAUUUAAGCAUUAAAAAUGAAUACGCGUGUGUGCUAAAACUUAGGGAAUAAUUUAUAAACAGCCAACGGAACGGGAGAUAUGGAAGGGCUGGCUGCCCUGCAAACCUCUGCAAAUGCAUGUGAAAUGCCAGGAUGCUUCUCCCCUCAUGGAUGUUUCAUUACGUCUCGCUGACCCCUUCAUGGCAGCUCGGUCUGCCAGGGCCUGCUGGCUAUUCCAGGUAUUAAGAGCUGAAGAAGACACAAUUUAUCUUUUCACUGCAUCAGACAGCAGCUUGGCACUAAGCUGGCAGCCUAGACACAGUAUUUUUCACCCUCUGCAUCUCCAAGAAGAAUCCCCUCAAACAGCAUCCAGGAUGAGUGGGAACUUCUUCUUCUGCUAACUGAAAUAGCAGAAUUUCUGCAUUAGCUCUGAAAAUGAAAAACAUGGGUUCCCUGUCGAGGAGUUUCUAUCCAAAAUGCAAAGAAUUUCAGUCUUUUUGGGCAAAAAAAUGUAUGGCAAGUAAUAGUUAAUACUGUUUCUAAUUAGAGUGCACUUGCUUGCUCUUAUUAUCCUGUUUAGAGGAUGGGAGAUGCUUUUACAGGGCACGAGGAGUGCUCCCAUGUCCAGCUCUCUCCACUCACCCUUGCAGCUGUCACAUAAAGCGUAAAGAAGUGACCCCACCACUACCAUUUUGACUUCUACUUUUUUCCCCUCCCCUGGGGGUUACUUUUCCUGCUUUGCCCUUCCCUUAUGGCAGGCAAGCCCUCGCUGCCACUGCAGGCAGCUGCUGGGAUGAACUCAGCCUCCUCUGGUGUAUUACACAACCACGUGAACUGGCAGUUCUUGCAGCUCCUCUGCAGAGGCUGGAACAGGCUGUGCAAAGCAGGAACCAGGGGUGAGUCAGGCUCCCUGAAUUUCUCUCCUCUCUGCAAGCCCAGUCUGAUCCUGACCAGAUCACAACCUCUUCUCUGCAUCCAUCAGCGAGCAAGAACCAUACCUGGUAUCACCACGUGCUGAACAGUCAGCCAAAAAACUGCCAGGUUUCAAGUCUUCCUUUAUUCUUUUUUUUUUUUUUUUUUAAUUUUAAUUAAUCAGUGCCUUUUUGUCCCCUCUGCUCCUUUAGUGCUUCCCUUGCCUUGCUCGUGUGCUGUCCAGUCUUUGUUCUUGCAGGUUUUGAAGUGGCCUUCAGGGCUUACUUCUCUCUCAUCCAGGAUUUGGAUGUGAUGUACACCAAGGAACCAGAAAAUGGGGCAGACUCUCUCCUUUGGAGCCUUCCUGCCCCACUCUUCCUUUUCCUCUUCCUCACUUGUCUUCACCCACUGCCCACUGUGGUGUCCAACAUGUCCCAGAAGAUGGAAGGAGAUGCUUCACUCAAAUGUUGCCUGGCUCAUUCUUCUUAUGUUAAAGAGAUUAUUUAGCUUCAUUUUCCAUCACUUUAUUUCUCAGCUACCUCAAACAGCAUCUGCUGGGCAUAGCAUUGGCAAGGCUGGCUGCUCUUGUAGCAAAUCCAGUUGUUUUAGUCAAUUGUGCUGGCAAGGGAACUUUUCCAGCGUGGCAAACUCUCCUGUGCCCAGGGCUGACGAGACUGGUGAGCCUCAGGGCAGUGGCACCGUGACCCGAUGAGAUUGGUGGACUGCCAAUAAGAGCAUGUGAGGACAAAUCCAGCCCCACCAGCAUCCCCAGGACAGACUGAGGCUGCUUAGGAAAGGCCCAAAGCCCCUGCAUCUCCUCACAAAUCUGCUCCUGGUGUGGCACUCCAGCUAAAUCUUGCACAUGCCAAUGUUCUUCCUUGUCAAGUAAUUAAAAUGCAGUGGGCAAUGAUGGAGUAGCAGGAAGGUGGGGACACUAAGCACUCCAAGGAGCGGACAGGAAUUUGUUUUCCCAUCCCCUUCAGAGAUGUGAAAUAGAAAUUUAAUGGUCACUUAGAGCAGAACUGCCCUACAGAUUCUCAGCACUGGCCUAAAUUUCAAUUAAGGUGGUCGAUUUGGCUCUUUGCUAACCCAGUUGUGCUUUACAUCCCAUAGCUAACAUCUGAAAACCUGGUGCUCAGCUCUUUGGGAGCCUCACCUCUGCAAGAGGAGCUGUGAGACCUUCUAAGCUUUUCUACCGCCCUCCAUGACCUUCGGGUCUGACAACUUUAAAUGAAAGAAGCUGCUUUUGCACAAAAAGGUGUUAAUAAAAUUAGUCUUGUUGGCACACAAUGUGAAGGGUGUCUUCAGCUCUGGAAGGGCACAGGCAUGCAGAUGAUUUUACUGACAAUUAGGCAAGAGUAGCAAAAGAUUUCCCUCAUAACCCUACCUUGCUGUGGCCAAUCAGAUUGUGAUAAACUCUGAUGCAGACUGAUCCACUGCUUGAUUAUCUAGAAAUCAGCCCCCAGUUAUCUCUUAUCUCUGUGUAGAAGCUUCUGUCCCCCAGCAGUGAGACCCUGGUCACACCACUGCCACUUUUUUGGAGCAAGGCUUGGGUCAUGCUCCUCACCAAUGACACUUUGCCAAAGUGUAGGUACAAAGGAGAUUUACAUGUACCAGAAGCUUCUGCCAAAAGCUUGAAGAGACGUCUGGUAUGAAUGCAGAGGCAGCUACA